GGUCGAUUCGUCUAGGGGUUAGGACGUGAGAUUCUGAUUAAUUCAGGAAUCCUUCUCAAGGCCUGGGUUCGAUUCCCAGAUUGACCU